UUCUUUCUUUCUUUUUUCUUUCUUUCUUUUCUUUCUUUCCUUUUCCCCCUUCUUUUCUUUUUGGAAAACAAUUUCUGGUUUCCAAGGGACAAUGUAAUUCCAUACAUUUUUAAAUGGCUGUCUACUUUUGUCUUUCUUAAAGGGCGUGUGUAAAUUUUUUGGGAUGGGGAGUUGAGGGGGGAGGAAUGCUGGUGCUUCUCCUUAAUCUCAGGCUCUGCGUGAAGCGUGAGAGGAAGCAGGAGCAUCUCCAAUAAGUCGGCUGCAGUAAACGGGGGUCAAAGGCAGCAGCAAACUUUGCAAGUUGCCACUGCUGCUCUGGUGACAGGCAAGACCUGGGCAUCUCCGUCCCAGUGAGAUUCUUCCUAUUAGAAUGCUGUGUGAACGUAGUGCGGUGUAAUCAGAGGAAUUAAAGGGGGGGGAGGUUGGUUUUUUUUCCCCUCCCGCUUCAGUGAAAGUGUUACAAAGUGAGUCAGGCGACUGUGGAUCAUCUGACUGAACUUUGCUGAAACCGACACACAUUCCUGUCUGCGGGCUCCUCGCAUUUCGAUUCCUUUCCCCUUACCCCUACUCCCACUUUUCUCCUUCACAUCUUAUUUUCUGGGAAUAGAUUUCAUCUUUUUACAUGGAGGAAAAAACGGGAUAUUUUCUGCCUUAGAUUAACUUUACUCUGAUAUUCUCCCUCUACGCUUCCCUGCUCAGUUGUGAUUCACCUAGUUAUUCUGGAGAAUUAUGAAGCUUAGAUUGUAGAUUCCUUUUCCUCUCACUUGCUAGACUUAUUUUCCUCCAACCCUCCUAGUCUGCCUCUUAACAAUUUUAUUUAGCAUUGUCAUCCAAUCCGUGUUUCCACCAAGCAUCCUUUCAAAUGCACAAACAACAGCACACAUUUAUCCCUAGUUGGUUUAUUCUAUUUAUACGUAGUUGACUUCAUUAACACACACACACACACACACACACACACACACACACACCAGCCUAGCUUACUGUUUGACCAUCUUUUCUGCAGCUUCUUUUUCUAUUCUUGUUGUUAUUAUUAUUAUUCCUUUCCAGGAAUUUCUAUAUGAUUUUGAUAAGCAUCAUCAUAUUUAGUGUUAUCAGCAAAGACACAAGCUCAGAAGUGACAUCCUUUCCAUGAAUCCAGGAGAGAAGAAAAAUCCACUCAGUUCAGAUAAAUCCUGGCAAUUCCCAAAGGGAAAGGCAUUGGAUACGAGCUUGACUAGAGAGAAAAUGAAAAACUCUUCUACCUGCUUCUCAAAAUCAGGACAUUGCUCCGGCAAGAAGAAACAAAUUAUUGAACACAAAGAAAAGCACUGGAAAAACAAACUAUAACUUCACAAUUAACUAACUGAAGAAAGACAAGUAAGGGGUGAGUUAGAAAACCAUGUAGCUAACGUACAGACUUUAGAUUAAGUUUUCAGGGUCUUGAGGAUAUACUUGAAAUUUGCAAUUAAACUUUCCUCCCCAGAGUGUUCUGGAUUUCCCAAGCUAUUGAAUAUACAGGACAUGGUUUUUUGAGAUGCAACAGAAAUAUCAUUCAGGUUCAUAUUUGCUCCCUAAGAUUGUUUAUUAUAGCUAGUGCUACACAUUAUACUCAUUAUCUGUUCCACCUGCAGAGUCCCCAUAUAGUCCCUCCCUCUCCCCUUUCCAUUAAAUUGUUUUCAGAAAACAUGAAACCAGGUAAUACACUCUUCCUAGACCUAUAUUAUGUCUUUACAUUAACUGUAAGGCUAAACUAUUUAUCUAUAUCCAAACCAAGAGAAGGGGGUGGGAGGAGGAAGGGACAAGAAACAAACACUCAAAAUAGUCUUUACUGCGAAAGAGCACUCCUGGAAACCUCGCUUUAAAUCUCAUUCUCUUUUCUCGAAAAAAUGACUGUUUAACAUGAGAAAAAAAGGCUCCUUGACACAAAGCUUUUGUUAUCCAGUUGAUCAGCAACGUGCUUUAGAUACUUGUAAGGGUGGAAAAAAAAGCCCCACAACAGACAUUGAUUUUAGAAAAUCAAUAACCAACAUUUAAUAAAAAGAACAGAGGAAACACAAGAGAGGAGAGGGGAACAUUACGUGUAAUUUUAGUGUCUACUAAAUUACCCAGAGAUGAGGAAAGGGGAGGUCUCCAGUGUGAAGACCACCUUAAAUAAUGACAGACACAAGAGUAAGGAAAAAUAGGGGGAAAAAACCACAAGACUUAAAAGAGGCAGCCUGAACAGAUCCUGGGGAAUCUCCACUGAAUAUAUUAUUUUGCUUGGGUUUUGUUUUGAUUUUUUUCUUUUGUAAUACUAAAGCCAAGCAAAUAGAUCAAAGACAACACAAAGAGAAAAGCCAGUGUAACAUAACGAACAGUUUCUGACUAAAAUUCCUCUAUCACUCCCCCAUAUGGCUCGACACCUCCGCCACAACAAGAAAAAGACACACACGCACGCACAAAACCUAGAGAGAGAAAGACAGGAUCAUUUGUCUCCAAUCAAAAAAUUCUCUUCUCUUUGUGUUAUUCUCCCUCCACACCCCACAUCCCACACCCCAGUCUCUACUUAAAUUCUGUAGCUCAGCUUUAAGGAAAGGGAUUGAGGUUCAUACAAUUGUCUUCAUUUCUCCUGAUCUCUAGAGGAAAGUUGCUGAAAGUGGGGCCGGGAAGUCCAUUCAGGGCUCUGGGAGGGGGUGGGGUGGGGGGGCUUUCGACUACGGAAGCAGUGGAGAAAAUAGGGAGGGACAGAACCCCACACCAGAGUAGAAGCAGCCAAAUUGUGAGCUCAGUCCAGAACACCACGUCCCAUUGAGCUCAGCCUCUCUGUAGACUGCAGAGACCAGGGGAGAGGGCAAUCAUGGGCGACUAGACAAAUUGUUUUAUCAGUAUUAUUAUGAUUACACUGGAGAAGUUUCUUUCAUAUUUUUUGAAAAACUGGAGUGACCCCCCCCCAUCUCCCUUUGGUGAAGGACUCUAAGUUCCAGUCAUUACUUUCACUUCUUUAUUUAUGAUCACAGAAGCUGGGGUGUUACUUCACACACAUCCACACAAAGAAUGAAAUAAAGAAAUGAAACUCACUAGGCAGACAAAACAGCAAAGUUUUUGCUUAGAAAACAUCCCUUUUCUAUGGGAGAGGAUGGGAAACUACAUCUGGGAGAGAGGCUUUUCCUGAAUUUGCUGUCUGAAUUGACCACUGCUUUGCAAUUAUUAACAGGUACAUGCAAAGUUUAAGAUUCUUAGAGUAAUUGAUUUUGUUUAGAUGCUACAAGAUGACAGCAGAUGUCCACCUACUGACUUUGUAUAUAGCUGAAUUACUUUCAGUAAAACUUUUGCAAAGAUGGAAGAAAUAUGGAAGCAAAAUGCACCUUGGUUACCUGGAUGAACAGAAUCAACUCCCAUCCAAAGGGACCACGAGAGAAAAAGAGGGAAAAAAUACAAUGCAAAAAGAAAAAAAAAUAAGGUAAAGAAAAAGAAGAACCUACCUGCGAAGUCUUGUUUGCAGUUUUGGCCAGAAAUGGUGAGAAGAAAAAGCAUGAAGAAGCCGCGAAGUGUGGGGGAGAAAAGGUGGAAGAGAAGCAGCUCCUGGAGAAAAUUGUAAAAAGCCUUGCAAAGAGUUGUCGGAAGGACCGUUAUUCCUGCUGGGCAGAGAAGAGAGGCGAGACCCUGAAACACGCGCCACCUAUCUUUGUGGGGAGGGAUAAUUGAAGAGCACUAAACGUGAGCAUCAUGUGAAAACGUGAUCGCCAAGUUUCUCUCUGGGAAAGGAUCUGGGAUAGAUUAUACCUUGAAGUCUCCGCAAACGCUUUAGUGGAAGAAAUGAAAUUCCACCUCCCUCCCUUCCUCCCUCCCUCCCUCUCUCUAUCCCUCCCUCCCUCUCUCCCUCCCUCCCCCUCUUCUCCCCCCUCCUCCCCCCUCCCUAACCAUCAAGUCUUUGGCAUCAUUAUCCUCUUCACUAAAUCCUACUGGAUACAAGGCGGAAAACGGUGAACACCAUUCACAGAACUGGAGCACUCAAAGGAACCGAAAGUUAAAGGCAAAGAUCCUGUGUCUUCAAUCAAGAUCUCUUCUUCUUACAAAGAUAUCUCUAAUGGCCAGAUUUCAGAUGCACAUUAACUUGUGUGGAUUUCUCAGUACGGCUCCCAGCACUAAAGUCUUUGCCCUUUUUCUCUAAGAUUUUCUUUUCUUUUCAGACGCCAAAACCAUAUAAUAAAAUUAUAUGAAGAAA